GAGUCUUUCUUGUGUGUCUGACCUGAAAGUAAACAAAUCACAACAAAUGUUGCCACAAAAAAAAACUAAUCUUUACUGUAAAUUAGGAAUGCUUGGAAAUAAAAUAAACAGUUUCUGGUUGUUUUCUUGGUACACCUACAGCAGCAGCAGCAGCAGCAGCAGAUCUUUCCCCGUGUGAAAGACUAAUUCUUUUACGCUUUGAAUAUAUCUUAUCCCAUGAAUCUAGGUAUCCAGGGCUGCUCACAGCUUUGCUUCUUGUGAGAUUAAACGAAGAUGAUGGUCUUAAAAUGGUUUUACCACAAGAAAACUUCCCCACAAGGAAUAUACCUGUUGUCUUCCCCUGAGGCCUCACACUGCCAGUCUGAGGAGUUUACAACUAAAUGAUAGAUCCAGAGGGUUUACCACAGAUCAUGGGGAGACAGUACAGGUACGGUCUGAUGACCUGCAUGUCAAUCCGCUGCUCCUGGUCACCGAUGAUCACUGUUCGCCACAGACGCCCAGAUGAGUCUCUCUCCUCCUCACUUUCACCUGGAAGGCGCUUGGCGGUGGCCACAGGAGUGUCAUCUAAACACAAGCUGUAUUUGACAGUUGGCAGCAAAAGGGAGACAACAUCUGAUGUCUGAGGCAGGACUCACACCAAGGACACUGCAGCUCAUUGCCAUUGUUGAUGAACUCCAGUGAGUCAGUCUCAUCAGGAGUCUCGAUGUCAUCAACGUUGAUGUCCAGGUCAUCGGGCGUUUCCAGGAAGUCAUCAGAGAGC